GAAAUGCGAUAAGUAAUGUGAAUUGCAGAAUUCAGUGAAUCAUCGAAUCUUUGAACGCACCUUGCGCUCCUUGGUAUUCCUUGGAGCAUGCCUGUUUGAGUAUCAUGAAAUCUUCAAAGUAAAUCUUUUGUUAACUCAAUUGGUUUCUACUUUGGUAUUGGAGGUCUUUGCAGCUUCACACCUGCUCCUCUUUGUUCAUUAGCUGGAUCUCACUGUUAUGCUUGGUUCCACUCGGCGUGAUAAGUUAUCUAUCGCUGAGGACACUGUAAAAGGUGGCCAAGGUAAAUGCAGAUGAACCGCUUCUAAUAGUCCAUUGACUUGGACAAUACUUUUAUGAUCUGAUCUCAAAUCAGGUAGGACUACCCGCUGAACUUAAGC
rnacentral:misc_RNA from 1 species